rnacentral:sRNA from 1 species
UACCUUCUAACAAGGAAACACUACUUAGGCUUUUAGGAUAAGAUUGCGGUUUAAGUUCUUAUACUCAAUCAUACACAUGACAUCAAGUCAUAUUCGAUUCCAAAACACUAACCAAGCUUCUUCUUGCUUCUCAAAGCUUUGAUGGAUUAGCCGAAGUCCAUAUGAGUCUUUGUCUUUGUAUCUUCUAACAAGGAAACACUACUUAGGCUUUUAGGAUAUGGUUGCGGUUUAAGUUCUUAUACUCAAUCAUACACAUGACUUCAAGUCAUAUUCGACUCCAAAACACUAACCAAGCUUCUUCA